rnacentral:lncRNA from 1 species
ACCCAUUUGAGCUCGGAAAACUUGUAAAACACUAUCAAAUAAAUGUGAUUAUUAGCAUUAACAGACACAUUAUAUAUAUAUAUAUAAGAAAUAAAUGAAUAAAUGAAUACAAUACCUGAAGAGUGCGAAGAAAUACGUAGAGUUCAUAAGGUUACGGUUUCGUUUAAGAAGAAACAGCGAAAAUGCGCAGAAAUACGAACAGUUCGUAGGACAGAGUAGGGUUCUCAUUGAGAAGAGUAUGUACUAAUGUUCGUAGGGAUAGUAACAAAUAUGGAGAUGAUUUGCAAUGGAGAUGGUUAACAAUAUGGUUCGUAGGACAUUAGGGUUCACAAUGAGAA